AACCAAAAAGUUGAAAAUAAAUUAGAAUUUAGACCCAGAAAAACCAAAAGUUGCAUGGUCGACAGGAAGACAAACCAAGGUUAAUCGUUUACGACUAA